rnacentral:rRNA from 1 species
UCAGUCGACUCCUACGGGAGGCAGCAGUGGGGAAUAUUGCGCAAUGGGCGAAAGCCUGACGCAGCAACGCCGCGUGUGGGAUGACAGCUUUCGGGUUGUAAACCACUUUCAGUGACGACGAAAUGACGGUAGUCACAGAAGAAGGUCCGGCCAACUACGUGCCAGCAGCCGCGGUAACACGUAGGGACCAAGCGUUGUCCGGAUUUAUUGGGCGUAAAGAGCUCGUAGGCGGUUCCGUAAGUCGGAUGUGAAACUCAGGGCUCAACCCUGAGACGCCAUCUGAUACUGCGGUGACUAGAGUCCGGUAGGGGAGCAUGGAAUUCCUGGUGUAGCGGUGGAAUGCGCAGAUAUCAGGAGGAACACCAAUGGCGAAGGCAGUGCUCUGGGCCGGUACUGACGCUGAGGAGCGAAAGCAUGGGGAGCAAACAGGAUUAGAUACCCUGGUAG